rnacentral:rRNA from 1 species
GACAGAGGGUGCAAACGUUGUUCGGAAUUACUGGGCGUAAAGCGUGUGUAGGCGGCUAAGUAAGUCGGAUGUGAAAGCCCUGGGCUCAACCCAGGAAGUGCACUCGAUACUGCAUAGCUAGAGUACUGGAGAGGUUGGUGGAAUUCUCGGUGUAGAGGUGAAAUUCGUAGAUAUCGAGAGGAACACCGGUGGCGAAGGCGGCCAACUGGACAGAUACUGACGCUGAGACACGAAAGCGUGGGGAGCAAACAGG